AAAAUAUUGAUUUUUUAAAAACUGCAUAUUUUGAUAGCAAAAUAUGUCUAGAAUCACUUGGUAUACUUCAAAUUAUUAAAAUAUUGCAUUUUAAUACUUAAAAACAUGUUUUAAUACCAUGGGGGCAUCUAAAUUUGUUGAAAAAAUCGAAAAAUUCAACUAAUUUCAACACACGGUAAUGCAUAAGUCUUAACUACGACAGUAUCAUACUUGGUAUCAAUUUAAAGAGGACGCUGUGUACUACGUCAUUUUCUUGAUUGUUUUCCAAGCUAAAACUAAUUAUAGAAACUAGAACACGAGAAAUGACGUAGAUCUAAAGGUUUUUGGUAACAUUUGAUUGGCUAAAAGGUAGUCAACUACAUAGAGGUUUAUUUCGAUUGGUCUCAAGGCGGCCAUCUUGGAAACCGGAGGGUAACUUUAGACCACAAUGCACAGCAUGUGUUUCAACAUCCCUGUAAAGUUUAUUACUCAAUUCUUUGGACUAACACCUGCAUUUUUUGUGUUUUAACAAUUUUGGGCUACAAAACAAGAACCAUGCCUCCAGUCACUGCCUUUAUUAUCAACACAAUCAGCAGAAGUUCGUCUAUCGAGAAAGUACUAGGUAGCAACUUCCAAACAAGCAAGAUUGAAAUAUAUAUUUUCAGCCACCACCUCAGUAACAGAUAUAGUCAUUUCUACACCAUCUGAACCUACUAUUCAGCAUCUGAAAGUAAGCUUUCCUUGUCCAACGAGAGAUAAAAAAAAAAAGGCAGGUUUGUGGAUGGCCAUGCCAUCAAUAACUUUAUAUCAAUACCGGUAUCUAUCUAUCUCUCUCUAUAUAUAUAUAACUACAAAUAUAUAACUUUAUUCACUAUUUUUCUUACAUAACUUUAUUGUUUAUUAAUGGUCAGUCCAUCUGCUUUUUAAAGAAAUACUUGUAAAAAAUAAUUUGUAAUUUGUCUUCAUUCAAUACCUGUUUGCAUCUUUUUCCUCGAUAAAAAAUUGUUUUACCACAGCAGAGGGGGUGGGGUGGGGGAGAAUAGUCAUUUUAAGUAAA